rnacentral:rRNA from 1 species
UAGGGAAUCUUCCGCAAUGGACGCAAGUCUGACGGAGCAACGCCGCGUGAGUGAAGAAGGAUUUCGGUUCGUAAAACUCUGUUGUUAGAGAAGAACAGCGCAUAGAGUAACUGUUAUGCGUGUGACGGUAUCUAACCAGAAAGCCACGGCUAACUACGUGCCAGCAGCCGCGGUAAUACGUAGGUGGCAAGCGUUGUCCGGAUUUAUUGGGCGUAAAGCGAGCGCAGGCGGUCAAUUAAGUCUGAUGUGAAAGCCCCCGGCUCAACCGGGGAGGGUCAUUGGAAACUGGUUGACUUGAGUGCAGAAGAGGAGAGUGGAAUUCCAUGUGUAGCGGUGAAAUGCGUAGAUAUAUGGAGGAACGCCAGUGGCGAAGGCGACUCUCUGGUCUGUAACUGACGCUGAGGUUCGAAAGCGUGGGUAGCAAACAGG